rnacentral:misc_RNA from 1 species
CACACACUCUCUAUCUCUCUCUUCCUCUUCUCUUUCUUUCAGAAAAAAAAGGCCAUAGAAAAGUAAUAUUUUUUGGUGACAAAGAAAUCAUCUUUCUUUAGCAUUUCUUACUCUGACUCAUAAGAGAAAGACAACAAGGGGGAACCUAAAUUUGCAAUAAAAGAAGGAAAUUGCCACCCAAUAUACAUAAAAAAGCUUUGGAGAAUGAAUGGUCUUUCACAUCUUCAGCCAGAUUACUCUGAUUUUGUUGAAGUUGAUCCAACUGGAAGAUAUGGAAGAUAUAAUGAAAUUCUUGGCAGAGGAGCUUCAAAGACAGUUUACAGAGCAUUUGAUGAGUAUGAAGGGAUUGAAGUUGCUUGGAACCAGGUCAAGCUCUAUGAUUUCCUGCAAAGCCCUGAAGAUCUUGAAAGACUCUACUGUGAGAUUCAUCUGCUUAAGACAUUGAAGCAUAAGAACAUAAUGAAAUUUUAUACUUCUUGGGUUGAUACUGCAAAUAGGAACAUCAACUUUGUGACUGAAAUGUUCACCUCUGGGACUUUAAGACAGUACCGGUUAAAGCACAAGAGAGUUAACAUUAGAGCAGUGAAGAAUUGGUGUAGGCAGAUCUUGAGAGGACUUCUCUAUCUCCAUAGCCAUAACCCUCCUGUGAUCCAUAGAGAUCUAAAAUGCGAUAACAUUUUUGUCAAUGGAAACCAAGGUGAAGUGAAGAUUGGAGAUCUUGGCCUUGCUGCAAUUCUUCGAAAAUCGCAUGCUGCUCACUGUGUUGGUAUGCUUAAUUGACUAAAGUCCUGUGAAAUCUCUUUAUCCAUCACUAUGAACGGAGCUGAAAGAAUUUCUCAAGUAAUAUUUACGUUGUGGCAUAAUUUUUUCUCGUCUCUGGGCCUUUUCUUUCUUCAGGGACACCAGAGUUUAUGGCCCCAGAAGUGUAUGAAGAGGCAUAUAAUGAACUGGUGGAUAUUUAUUCUUUUGGGAUGUGCAUUUUGGAAAUGGUCACUUUUGAAUAUCCGUAUAGCGAAUGCACUCAUCCAGCUCAAAUCUAUAAGAAAGUUAUCUCUGUAAGACCUCUCUCUUUCUCUCUCCUUUUGCUCUUUCUCAGAAAUGAUAAAUUUGAUUCACCUACUUUAUCAUUUUAGGGCAGAAAACCUGAUGCUCUGUAUAAAGUGAAGGAUCCAGAAGUAAGGCAGUUUGUGGAGAAAUGUUUGGCAACUGUAUCACUUAGGCUCUCAGCUAGAGAGUUGUUGAAUGAUCCAUUUCUCCAAAUUGAUGACCGUGAAUCCAAUUUUAAACCUGUAGAUUAUGGGCCAGAAUUAGAUGGCAUGGGUCCACUCAUAAGGCAACCUUACCUUGAAUUUCAUGAAAAUACUUAUCCCUACAAUAAUGGAUACUCAAAUGGCUAUAGCUAUGAUGCUGAAAGUGAAUUGGAAUAUCAUCUGGUUGAUUUCGAACACAGUGGAAUCGAGCUGUUCGAGUAUCAUGAUGAAGAACAUUCUGCAAAUGUUGACAUAAGUAUAAAAGGGAAGAGGAGAGAUGAUGGUGGAAUUUUUUUAAGGCUCCGAAUUACAGAUAAAGAUGGUUAGCAAACUUCUUUUCUUCUUUUCUCUUACUUAUCAUUUCUGUACAGUGUUAACUUUCCAGUCUUCCCUGGUGAAUGUUCAACCUGGUACUUUAUUAUCUCCUUGCAGGUCGCAUUCGAAACAUAUAUUUCUCUUUCGACAUUGAAACUGAUACUGCAUUGAGUGUGGCCACUGAAAUGGUUGCAGAACUUGAUAUUACUGAUCAAGAUGUGACUAAAAUUGCAGAUAUGAUUGAUGGUGAGAUUGCUUACUUGGUUCCUGAAUGGAGGCCAGGGCCAGGCAUAGAGGAAACACCUCGCUUUGCAAAUCAAACCUUCUGUCACAAUUGUGCUUCCAAUCGAACCUCUAAUGGUUCACUUAUAGAUUUUCUAUCAAAUAAUCCAUGUUGUAGAAAUGGAUGUGCUUCCAUGCAUGGCCGAUUUGAAGAGAUUACAUUCCAGGCUGAUGAACCUGAGCUUCAUUCAACAGAAGGUGCUCCAAACAUACUGAGCCAUUCGGACUGCUUAGGCUAUCAGGAAAUUUGGGGUCAACAUGAAAGCCGCGAUCUUAUUCCAGUGGGAUCUGGAAGAAGCCAUUCAGAUGAAGAAUAUGAAAAAGUUGAUCAAUCAAUCACAACAAAGGAUGAGAAUAAUGUAAAGAUGGAAAAUGAAUUUCAUUCUGGUGCAGGGAAGUCAAUUCUACACUUAAGAAGUUCUGGUUCUUUUUGCAGACUUUCUUCAUUGUACAGUGACCUCUCAGACAGUAAUGAGAACAAAAUCCGGAAAGAAUUGAGAUGGCUUAAAGCGAAGUACCAUAUCGAAUUGGGAAAACUUAGAGAUCAACAAUUAGGAAUUGUAUCAAAAUCUUCAACUUCUAGCAAUAGAAACUGCAAACCAAGUAAUGGGGUUUUGUCAUCUGCAGUAAUGAAUUCAUUUCAAGGAAGUACCAAUGGAGAUCUCUUCAAAUCUUUAGGUCAUGAGAAGCUUUAUGGUCCCAAUUUGCAUAAUGAUGUCAAUAAUAGCCGCCCCAAUUUGGAUACCAGAAGGGCCCGAAAUUGUGUGGCGAUGAAGGAAUCCCCGAGAACAAGUGACAUGGUCACUGCCAAGAGUUUCUACAGUAGGUCAUUGCUUCCACAUUCACUUCACAGGACAACAUCCCUUCCAGUUGAUGCUGUUGAUGUAUAACAUAUGUAAGACACUUUCUUUCAUUCUUUUACGAGUUCCUUACUGUAGAGGCUUUAUUAUUAUACAAUCAACCUUUAUGGGGAGAGAACAAAAUCCACCCUCAAUGUGCUCAUGUCCUACUAGCCAGCUGCCAGCCUAUCUUGCACUUAUUAUCUCAUAUGUAAUUGUGAUGAGAGAUGCAAAGUUCUGACCCUAUAGAAUCUCAAAUGGGGAUGUGAUUCGAUGUAUUUUUAUCCAUUUGUCCCCCAGAAGUAAAAUGGUGCACAAUGUGAUGUUGGAGUUGGAGAGUGUAGAAGAAAGAUGGUUUGAGGCUUUUAUGAGAUCUUUAGAUAUAUUGAAUUGGUUGAGGAAUCCAUGUGCAAUACCUACUGGCUUUUAUUUGAACUACCAUCAGGGUGGUUAUUAUUAUUAGCUAUCAUGAGGAGAGAUUCAAUCAUUGAAGCUUGCAGGGCCUCCAGGUGUAAUGACUCAGUUGAAUUGGAGUCCCAUGUGCAUUUCUGUUCACCUUAAAUCUGUCAAGACCAGAGAGGCACUAAAUGCCUUUUCUUUUACUGUUCUUUUGAAGUGCAUAGCUAAAUCUCUAUUUCCGUAUUGAAUAAUUUGUUUUAUAUUUGGUAAGCAAGUUUAUUUUAUAGGGGGAUUGAGGGAAUGAGCUUCGAACUUGACACCUAAUGCUGAUGAGCAAUAGGUUAGACUGUAGUAAACAAGACUAUGCAUUUGGUAUACAAGUUACAGCUGACCAAUAAGAGGUUUUCUUGAGGGCUUCUGCUAUUUCUGGUAGAGCCCACACAUUAAG